CCUACGGGGAGCAGCAGUCGAGAAUCAUUCACAAUGGGGGAAACCCUGAUGGUGCGACGCCGCGUGGGGGAAUGAAGGUCUUCGGAUUGUAAACCCCUGUCAUGUGGGAGCAAAUUAAAAAGAUAGUACCACAAGAGGAAGAGACGGCUAACUCUGUGCCAGCAGCCGCGGUAAUACAGUGGUCUCAAGCGUUGUUCGGAAUCACUGGGCGUAAAGGGUGCGGAGGCUGUUUCGUAAGUCGUGUGUGAAAGGCGCGGGCUCAACCCGCGGACGGCACAUGAUACUGCGGGACUAGAGUAAUGGAGGGGGAACCGGAAUUCUCGGUGUAGCAGUGAAAUGCGUAGAUAUCGAGAGGAACACUCGUGGCGAAGGCGGGUUCCUGGACAUUAACUGACGCUGAGGCACGAAGGCCAGGGGAGCGAAAGGGAUUAGAUACCCUGGUAGUC
rnacentral:rRNA from 1 species